AAGAAAGAAAGGAAGAAAGAAAGAAGAUGUCGGAAGCAGGGGAGGUCGUGGUGGUUGCUGCUGCGGUGGAGAAGCUGUGUCGGCGAUGCAAGCGCCGCUUCGAUCCCUCCGAAAACACGCCCUCCUCCUGCAGUUUCCACCCAUCCUUCUUCGUUUGCCGACGCCACGACGACCAGAAGAGGUACUACGAGCUUGGACCGGAUGAUCCGCCUUAUGCUGCCAAGUUCUACGACUGCUGCGGCGCCGAGGAUCCAGAUGCCCCAGGUUGUUCUACGGACUUCCAUGCCUCUUAUGAUGAUGAUACUUGAUUGAUUAUCUCCGUUACUUAAUACUUCCACAAAGUUAGCUAGUCUGUUUUGUAUUAUGUUUGUGUUGCUGUAAUUUUUCUGCAGUUGAUCAUUUGAAUGUGUAAGCGAAGUCGGUGCCAAUGUGCUAAUAUUGUCCUUGUGUUAAUUUUAUGAAAUUAUUCGGGAACAAUGUAAUUGUAGAAAUCCAGUCUCUGUGUUUGAUUUUAGUCGUGUUAGAUAUGCUCUUCUCUUUUGUUAAGGAAAGAUAUUCUAGCUAGUAAGGUUGUUGCCUAGUUUUGCAGCACUAUGCACUUGGCCAAAACCGUAGUUUGCUUAACUGGAAUAGAUAAAAGUUACUUUAAA